CAAUUUCUUCCAGAGCAUCAACUAUUAUCCAUAGGCAAAUACGCAUCAUACGAGAGGUUAAUCCCUUUAUAUAAAGCAAGAAAGUGAUUAAAUUCGAAAUUAUUUAUCAUAAAAUUCAAUAAAAGGAGGAAAAAAUAGUUAGUUUCCAAUUUAUCUCCUGGGAAAAACCAUGAAAAGAAACAAAAUUUCAUUCGCAAAACAAAUGAUAAGAAGAUGGUCUCAAAUCUUUAG
rnacentral:misc_RNA from 1 species